rnacentral:rRNA from 1 species
AUCGAACGCUGGCGGCAUGCCUUACACAUGCAAGUCGAACGGUAACAGGUCUUCGGAUGCUGGCGAGUGGCGAACGGGUGAGUAAUACAUCGGAACGUGCCUAGUAGUGGGGGAUAACUACUCGAAAGAGUGGCUAAUACCGCAUGAGAUCUACGGAUGAAAGCAGGGGAUCGCAAGACCUUGUGCUACUAGAGCGGCCGAUGGCAGAUUAGGUAGUUGGUGGGAUAAAAGCUUACCAAGCCGACGGUCUGUAGCUGGUCUGAGAGGACGAUCAGCCACACUGGGACUGAGACACGGCCCAGACUCCUACGGGAGGCAGCAGUGGGGAAUUUUGGACAAUGGGCGAAAGCCUGAUCCAGCAAUGCCGCGUGCAGGAUGAAGGCCUUCGGGUUGUAAACUGCUUUUGUACGGAACGAAAAGCCCCGGGUUAAUACCCUGGGGUCAUGACGGUACCGUAAGAAUAAGCACCGGCUAACUACGUGCCAGCCGCCGCAGUAA